CGACGGUGAUUGACGCGCGGCGGUGGCGGCUGGUGAGGCGGCGCCGGGCUAGGGGUCAGAAAACAGAAUGCCCUAGGUACGGUGCACCUAGGGUUUUUUUGUUUUUUUGUUGAAAAGUUUAGUUGGGCUACUAGGGUUUUGUAUUGGGCUAGGUUUUGGGUUUGGGUUUAAUUGGGUUGGUGUUAGGUUUUGGGUCUGCUGGAAAUGGGUUGGGUAUUGGGUUAUUUUGGGUUUGUUUAAGAUGGGUUUGUAAUGGGUAAAUUUGGGCUUGUACAGUCUUCAUUUGCUAAUUCAUUCACUUUUCUGAUCAC
rnacentral:lncRNA from 1 species